CUUGUUUAGCAGUUCUGACGCUGCUUCCCUUGGAGAAAGGAAUGAAGUGGUUCUUGCUUGGAUCACCAUCAAGAC
rnacentral:tRNA from 1 species